rnacentral:rRNA from 1 species
UACGUAGGGCGCGAGCGUUGUCCGGAAUUAUUGGGCGUAAAGAGCUCGUAGGCGGCCUGUCGCGUCCGCUGUGAAAUCCCGGGGCUCAACCCCGGGCGUGCAGUGGAUACGGGCUGGCUGGAGGCAGGCAGGGGAGAACGGAAUUCCUGGUGUAGCGGUGAAAUGCGCAGAUAUCAGGAGGAACACCGGUGGCGAAGGCGGUUCUCUGGGCUGGACCUGACGCUGAGGCACGAAAGCCAGGGGAGCGAACGGG